rnacentral:rRNA from 1 species
UACGAAGGUGACUAGCGUUGUUCGGAAUCAUUGGGCGUAAAGCGCACGUAGGCGGGUUUGUAAGUCAAUUGUGAAAACCCUGGGCUCAACCCGGGACCUGCAGUCGAAACUACAAGUCUUGAAUGCUCGAGAGGAUGGUGGAAUUCCAGGAGUAGAAGUGAAAUUCGUAGAUAUCUGGAGGAACACCGGAGGCGAAAGCGGCCAUCUGGCGAGACAUUGACGCUAAGGUGCGAAAGCGUGGGGAUCAAACAGG